CCACCAAAGACGUCCCGCUUCGAAAUGUGAAGCUUUUGAAGUCCUACGUCAUCCAGAAUCCACAGAUGGGUUGCUCCAUCCCAGCCAUUGUCCUGAUCACCAAGAUGAACCGUUGGCUGUGCUACCCUCCCGACUCCCGGACGGCUCUUGGUCUCAUGAAAGCCCUGGACACCAGAAAUGCCCGGAAAUCAAGGCGACCCUAAAGGAGGACAAAUCUUCCCUGUGAAUACAACAGCUGAGCCUGCAAGAAAGAGAAACCCAAAGAAAAUUAUUUGGCACAGAAUGAGAAUUAUGACAUUUUGGCUUCCUACUCCACCUGUUAAUAGUAGUCACAUUAACUGCCAUGGCUCCGUGCUGUGGAAUCCUGGGAUUUGUAGUUUGGUGAGGCCUGGCCCUUUUUGGUAGAGAAGUCGCAAGACCUUGCGAAACUACUCAUCCCAGGAUCCCAUUGCAUUGAGCCAUGCAAACUGCAUUCAUCCCACAGUGGAGAUGCAUCCCUAGUUUAAGAUUUUGGGUCUUUUUUUAAGGCCCUGAAGAUGUGAAAUAAAUACAAAAAAAGGGUUUAUCACUGAGUAUGUUGCAACCACUGAGCCACGCGUCCAAAUUGAAAUCGCAUUUAUCUGAACCGAGGCUUCGAAGGCAAAAACCCAUAUGCAAAAUAUUUUCCUUUCUUUAAAACUAGUUCAUGGUUGGCUUUCUCCUUAAAGAUGGCAUUCUCAAAUACAAGGAGUUUCUACUUGUUGCAAAAGGCACCAAAAAGCCCUUUUGCAAGUGUUUGCAAGCACCUGAAAUCAUGCUUGCCUUGGAUGCAUCCAUACUAUAGAAUUAAUGCAAUUUGACCCCACUUUAAAUGCUAUGCAUUCAUGGGAGUUGUAGUUUUACAGCUUCUGUAGCCUUCUCUGCCAAACUACAACUCCCACUUUGCAUCAGAUUGAGCCGAGGUAGUUAAAGUGGUUUCAAACUGAAUUAUUUCUACAAUGUAGAUGCAUCCCUUUCGGAGAGAGACAGGAAAGCUUCAUAUCUGACUUGAAUGGAGAUGCAGGUUGAGCUUCCCUUAUCCAAAAUGCUCAGAAACCAAAGUGUUUUGGAUGUUGAACUUUUUCAGGUUUUAUAUAUGUUUAAAUUAGAGGGAAAUUUAUAUGUUUUUGUAUGCAAUGUUUGUCAUAGUUGUGUGCAUCAUGGGACACAAGCCUAAAUGUGAAAUUCAUUGAUGUUUCCUAUACAACAUAUACACAUAGUCUAAAGGGAAUUUUAUAUGCAAUAUAUUUCUAUGCAACAUUUUCAAUAAUUUCAUGCAUGACGUUUGUAUACAUUGAGAUACUGUAAAGCAAAGGUGUCAUUCUCUGAGCCUCUCUUGCAGACAGUUUCAGAUUACAAAAUAGUUCCUAUAGUCCCCGAUAAGGGAUACCCAACAAGGUAAAAUUUCCAUUUAAUUCCUAAUGUGCUAUUACCCCAAAAGGAGUCGGUUUCUGUAUGAAAAAGGACUAGCUCUCCCUUUGCUACUUGGAGGUUUGGCCUCUUUUGCUGUGAAUUAAAAAGCUUUGCAAAAAAAAAAAAAUGGGAAAAUGGGACUUAUGAAGAUGUUUGCAAUGUUGUAUUAAAUGGAGACCUCCAACAUAUAAUCUCUGUUUCUUGUAUUGCCUGUUCUGUCUCUCUAUCCAUUGUUUUAUACCGAAGUUUAAUUCAUUAAAAAGGACAUAUAUCUUUUCUUUUUUUUAAGUGCUUUGUUGCUUCAUUUUCUCUCCCAAAUACCAAAUCCUUUUCCAAGAUGAGAUGCUGAUUGGUGGCUACCAGAUUCUAUUGAUUUAAUACAGUUUGGUGCCAACUCAUCUGCCAUGUCAUGAUGCUAUAUAAUCAUAAAUAUAUGAUCCUAACCUGUGGUUCUUCUAUUUACGGAUGGCUCUCUAACUAUCACCCAGAAGGCUACCUGUAGGCACUGGAUAUUUUAAAUUUCCAGCACAGGAUGCUUCACGUCAAAUAAGAACAAAGAGAGGCCUGCCUGUUCAGACGAGGUAGUAGUAGGAACACAGUUGUCUGAAUCAGGAGGGGGUCAAAUAGCUGGAGGCUUGAAAACAGGGUUUUUGAUGCUUGGAAGUAACCCAGGCAUAGGUGCAUAAGAAAAUAGAGCAUUUUAGGCCUCACUUGCAGAUUGGAAAAAUGCAUAAACAAUACAGGACAAAUGGUUAUGGCAAUGUAGAAAGAAGCAGAGGAUUUGCACCAGAUUAUUUUGCAACACUAUAUAGCCCUGCACUAGCUAUUACAGUGAUGGGCAACCUUUUGCACUUGGUGUGUCAAAAUUCGCCAAAAAACCUAGCAUGACUUGGGUAGUGUGUCACUUCGAGAAAAAAAAACACCAUAAUUUCGCAAUAUGUAUAGUUUAAAUAACAAAAAUGUAUAAGUGUAAUAUAUAAUUGUAUUUAAUACAUCAAAAACUAUUUACUACCGUUAUUUCCAUGUACAACAAUCUAUGGUACUUCUUGCAGUUUAAGCUUCACAAAGUUUCCACACUGAUUUCUCUCUAUUCUAGUUUCAAUAUAGUCAUGAAUAAUGAAUAAUAUAAUAAUAAUAUAAUAGUAAUAAUAUGAUAAUAUACUACAAUAAUAGAAUAACAAUAGAUUUAAUAUUUCCAUGUACAACAAUCUAUGGUACUUCUUGCAGUUUAAGCUUCACAAAGUUUCCACACUGAUUUCUCUCUAUUCUAGUUUCAAUAUAGUCAUGAAUAAUGAAUAAUAUAAUAAUAAUAUAAUAGUAAUAAUAUGAUAAUAUACUACAAUAAUAGAAUAAUAAUAGAUUUAAUAUUUCCAUGUACAACAAUCUAUGGUACUUCUUGCAGUUUAAGCUUCACAAAGUUUCCACACUGAUUUCUCUCUAUUCUAGUUUCAAUAUAGUCAUGAAUAAUGAAUAAUAUAAUAAUAAUAUAAUAGUAAUAAUAUGAUAAUAUACUACAAUAAUAGAAUAAUAAUAGAUUUAAUAUUUCCAUGUACAACAAUCUAUGGUACUUCUUGCAGUUUAAGCUUCACAAAGUUUCCACACUGAUUUCUCUCUAUUCUAGUUUCAAUAUAGUCAUGAAUAAUGAAUAAUAUAAUAAUAAUAUAAUAGUAAUAAUAUGAUAAUAUACUACAAUAAUAGAAUAACAAUAGAUUUAAUAUUUCCAUGUACAACAAUCUAUGGUACUUCUUGCAGUUUAAGCUUCACAAAGUUUCCACACUGAUUUCUCUCUAUUCUAGUUUCAAUAUAGUCAUGAAUAAUGAAUAAUAUAAUAAUAAUAUAAUAGGAACGAUAUGAUAAUAUACUACAAUAAUAGAAUAAUAAUAGAUUUAAUAUUUCCAUGUACAACCAUCUAUGGUACUUCUUGCAGUUUAAGCUUCACAAAGUUUCCACACUGAUUUCUCUCUAUUCUAGUUUCAAUAUAGUCAUGAAUAAUGAAUAAUAUAAUAAUAAUAUAAUAGGAACGAUAUGAUAAUAUACUACAAUAAUAGAAUAAUAAUAGAAUGAAUGAUAUAAUAAAAAUAUAGUAUAAUAUAAUGAUAUAAAAUAUAUUAAUAGGAUAAUAUAAUAAUAGGAUAUAAUAAUAAUCUAUAUUUAUAUACAUGUACUGUUCAUUUGUAGGACGGAGUAAACAAAAAAACAACUGGAUGAAAUGACACCAAGUUUGGCCACAAAAUACUUAACAACCCAAGAGGUGACCACCGCGUGUCAGCAGAAUUGGCUAGAUGUGUCAGUGCUGACACGUGUGUCAUAGGUUCGCCAUCACUGACCUAUUAGAAUUUCAAAAUUCCAGACAAGAGUCAAUCAGGGGCAGCUAACGACUCUGAACAAAGGAUUCCCUCAGGCCAGGAUGUGAAGCUUGGAAGGCCAUUUAAUGCUAAUCAAGGUGAUUAAUCACAACAUCCACACUGGCCUCCAACAGACAAGAGUUCUUCCCCCAAACCCAGGAACUUCCACAGAUAUAUAAACCUUCCUUGCUUAGUUUCUUCAUAUAUCUCACAACCUCUGAGGAUGCCUGCCAUAGAUGUGGGAGAAAUGUCAGGAGCGAAUACUUCUGGAACAUGGCCAGACAGCCCAGAAAACACACAACAAUCCUGUGAUUCUGGCCAUUAAAGCCUUUGACCAUGCACAGCCAGUAGGCUGUAAGGAAUUGUGGGAGUUGAAGUCCAAAACACCUGGAGGGCCUGCAUUAAAGUCUUCCAAGGAUACUUUCAGGGCCGUAGCCAGAAAAAUUUGGGGGGGGGGGGGUUGAAAAUUUGGGGGGGGGGGGUGAAACCCUAAAAACCCCCACACCCGCUACAAAACUGUCAAUAUUUGCUUGAGAUAAUGCCUGGAGGGACUCUCAACGGUGGUAAUAUUAUUACUAUUAUUAAUAUUAUUAUUAUUAUUAUCAUCAUCC
ensembl:lncRNA